rnacentral:rRNA from 1 species
AUUGAACGCUGGCGGCAGGCCUAACACAUGCAAGUCGAGCGGACGAGGAGAGCUUGCUCUCUGAUUUAGCGGCGGACGGGUGAGUAAUGCCUAGGAAUCUGCCUGGUAGUGGGGGAUAACGUUCCGAAAGGAACGCUAAUACCGCAUAGGUACUACGUGACAAAGCAGGGGACCUUCGGGCCUUGCGCUAUCAGAUGAGCCAAGGUCGGAUUAGCUAGUUGGUGUGGUAAUGGCUCACCAAGGCGACGAUCCGUAACUGGUCUGAGAGGAUGAUCAGUCACACUGGAACUGAGACACGGUCCAGACUCCUACGGGAGGCAGCAGUGGGGAAUAUUGGACAAUGGGCGAAAGCCUGAUCCAGCCAUGCCGCGUGUGUGAAGAAGGUCUUCGGAUUGUAAAGCACUUUAAGUUGGGAGGAAGGGUUGUAGAUUAAUACUCUGCAAUUUUGACGUUACCAACAGAAUAAGCACCGGCUAACUUCGUGCCAGCAGCCGCAGUAACAC